GACGAACGCUGGCGGCGUGCUUAACAUAUGCAAGUCGAGCGGUAAGGCCCUUCGGGGUACACGAGCGGCGAACGGGUGAGUAACACGUGAGUAAUCUGCCUAUCACUUCGGGAUAACUCCGGGAAUCCGGGGCUAAUACCGCAUAUGACCACUUCUGGCAUCUGAUGGUGGUGGAAAGUUCCGGCGGUGAUGGAUGAGCCCCAGGCCUAUUAGCUUGCUUGGUGGGUAGUGGCAUACCAAGGCCACGACGGGUAGCCGGCCCGCGAGGGUGAACGGCCACACGAGAACUAGGACACAGCCCAGACUCCUACGAAAGACAGCAGUGGGGAAUAUUGAACGAUAGGCGAAAGCCUGAUCCAGCAGCGCCGCAUGAGGGAUGACGGCCUUCGGGUUGUAAACCUAUUUCGGCAGAGACGAAGCGCAAGUGACGGUACCUGCUAAAGGAGCACCGGCCAACUACGUG
rnacentral:rRNA from 1 species